rnacentral:rRNA from 1 species
GACGAACGCUAGCGGCAGGCCUAAUACAUGCAAGUCGAGGGAGAAUGUUGGAUUCGUCUGACAUGAAACCGGCGCACGGGUGCGUAACACGUAUGCAACCUACCUUUAACUGGGGUAUAGCUCAGAGAAAUCUGAAUUAAUCCCCCAUAAGACUACGACAUGGCAUCAUGAUGUAGUUAAAGCUCCGGCGGUUAAGGAUGGGCAUGCGGUACAUUAGCUAGUUGGUGAGGUAAUGGCUCACCAAGGCUACGAUGUAUAGGGGGUCUGAGAGGAUGAUCCCCCACACUGGAAAUGAGACACGGACCAGACUCCUACGGGAGGCAGCAGUAGGGAAUAUUGGUCAAUGGACGCAAGUCUGAACCAGCCAUGCCGCGUGAAGGAUGAAGGCCCUAUGGGUCGUAAACUUCUUUUAUUAGGGAAGAAAAAACGGGAUGCGUCCUGUACUGACGGUACUUAAUGAAUAAGGAUCGGCUAACUUCGUGCCAGCCGCCGCCGUAA